rnacentral:rRNA from 1 species
CCCUACGGGAGGCAGCAGUGGGGAAUCUUGGACAAUGGGGGCAACCCUGAUCCAGCAACGCCGCGUGAGCGAAGAAGGCCUUCGGGUUGUAAAGCACUCUAUCAGGGAAAAACAAGUACGGGCUAUACCCGGCGACUGACGGUACCUGAGAAUAAGCACCGGCUAUUACCA